rnacentral:rRNA from 1 species
UACGGAGGGUGCAAGCGUUAAUCGGAAUUACUGGGCGUAAAGCGUGCGCAGGCGGUUUGUUAAGUCUGUUGUGAAAUCCCCGAGCUCAACUUGGGAAUUGCAAUGGAUACUGGCAGGCUGGAGUAUGGUAGAGGAAGGUGGAAUUCCCGGUGUAGCAGUGAAAUGCGUAGAGAUCAGGAGGAACACCGAUGGCGAAGGCAGAUCUCUGGGCCGUAACUGACGCUGAGGAGCGAAAGCAUGGGGAGCGAACAGG